rnacentral:rRNA from 1 species
CCUACGGGAGGCAGCAGUGGGGAAUAUUGCACAAUGGGGGGAACCCUGAUGCAGCGACGUCGCGUGGGUGAAGGAGGAUUUAGGUAUGGAAAGCCCUAUCAGCAGGGAAGAACAAUGACGGUACCUGACUAAGAAGUACCGGCUGAAUACGUGCCAGCAGGCGGGGUCAUACGGAGGGUGGAGGCGGUAUCCGGAUGUACGGGGGGUACGGGGAGGGCAGGGGGGGAGUUAAGCCUGGUGGGAAUGGCUGCGGACCAACGGGGGGACUGCAUUGGGAACUGGCACGCUGGAGUUCCGGAGGGGUAGGCGGAAUUAGUAGUGUAGCGGUGAAAUGCGUAGAUAUUAGGAGGAACACCGGUGGCGAAGGCGGCCUACUGGACGGUGACUGACGCUGAGGCUCGAAAGCGUGGGGAGCAAACAGGAUUAGAUACCCGAGUAGUC